rnacentral:rRNA from 1 species
CACGCCCUAAACGAUGUCUACUAGUUGUCGGGGAUUUAUUUCCUUGGUAACGCAGCUAACGCGUGAAGUAGACCGCCUGGGGAGUACGGCCGCAAGGUUAAAACUCAAAGGAAUUGACGGGGACCCGCACAAGCGGUGGAUGAUGUGGAUUAAUUCGAUGCAACGCGAAAAACCUUACCUACACUUGACAUGUCGGAAACUUUCCAGAGAUGGAUUGGUGCCCGAAAGGGAAUCCGAACACAGGUGC